GGCAUCCUGACGUCAAUUUGACAUCAACAAGUAGUCAAGAUUUUGACCAACAUGUAUGACGUGCAUAAAUAUGCAUAAUUUCAUUAUAUUUUGUAAUGAUUUCCUUGUGGUUGUAAAGAGGCCCAACAAAGGUAUCAAUCUAACAUGUUUUUUCUGGUCCCUACAUCUCAGGUCUAUAUUAUUGACAUUAAAUCAACGUUGAUUUGAUGUCAGGAAAUAAGACGUCAAAUUGAUGUGAAAUUUAUGUCAAAACAACGUCUGUUAAAAUGUCUGAAAAGGUAUAUUAUUAGCCUACUCAUUGUAAAUCGACGCGAGUUUUUCAACAUCCUGACCCACACAGCAGAGGGUUCCAAAACGGACCCUCUGCGGCGGACUCCGUGCGGAUACGCACAUCGAAGCGCCCUUUCCAGUCCUAACGGCUCCUUCAGUUUUCAAAUUUCUCGUUGAUGAAGUGGAAGACGAAACAGCGGCGUCUGAAGGCUCACUGUCAUUCACAAGUGGCUCCAGUCUGGUUUGGGGGUUCUGCCAUCCAAGUAAAGUUAUUCACAAGUGGCUCCAGUCUGGUUUGGGGGUCUACGCUUUCUCAUCCUGUCCUGCCACCCAAGUGAAGUUAUUCACAAGUGGCUCCAGUCUGGUUUGGGGGUCUACGCUUUCUCAUCCUGUCCUGCCACCCAAGUGAAGUUAUUCACAAGUGGCUCCAGUCUGGUUUGGGGGUCUACGCUUUCUUAUCCUGUCCUGAGUGAUUCUUGACAUUGAAAUUAUAUCAAAAUUUGUCAAUAAAUGUUCAUACUUUUGUCAUUAAUGUUUGAUUUCGGAUUUAUGUUGAAUUGACAGCGAAGCUUGAUAUUGAAUGAUAGCAAAAUAGCAUUAAAACAUUGUCUUCCUAUGCAUCAACAUCAUGACAUCUUGACAUCAAAUAAAUGUUGAAUUGACAUCAAAUGCCAACAAAACUUGACAUGGAAAUGACAUCAACAUCAUGACAUCUUGAUGUCAAAUAAAUGUUGAAUUGACAUCAAAGCCUGAUAUUGAAUGAUAUCAAAAUAGCAUCAAAACGUAAUCAACCAUCAUGACAUCAAAUACAUGUUGAAUUGACAUCAAAUCCCGGCAAAACAUGACAUCAAAAUAACAUCAAAAUGACAUCAGCAGAGGUCAAAAUCUUGACAUCAAAUUGACAUCAGUACAUUGACGUCAAUAUGACUUUCAUUCUAGACCUAUUU